CAGCAGCCGCGGGAAUACGAAGGGUGCAAGCGUUACUCGGAAUUACUGGGCGUAAAGCGUGCGUAGGUGGUGGUUUAAGUCCGUUGUGAAAGCCCUGGGCUCAACCUGGGAAUUGCAGUGGAUACUGGGUCACUAGAGUGUGGUAGAGGAUAGUGGAAUUUCCGGUGUAGCAGUGAAAUGCGUAGAGAUCGGAAGGAACAUCUGUGGCGAAGGCGACUAUCUGGGCCAACACUGACACUGAGGCACGAAAGCGUGGGGAGCAAACAGGAUUAGAGACCCCCGUAGUCCCUGUCUCUUAUAC
rnacentral:rRNA from 1 species